UGUGAGCUCGAUGAGUAGGGCGGGACACGUGGUAUCCUGUCUGAAUAUGGGGGGACCAUCCUCCAAGGCUAAAUACUCCUGACUGACCGAUAGUGAACCAGUACCGUGAGGGAAAGGCGAAAAGAACCCCGGCGAGGGGAGUGAAAAAGAACCUGAAACCGUGUACGUACAAGCAGUGGGAGCCCCACCACUAAGCCAGUGGUGAACUCCACAUACGCAUCCUUUGCUGAAGGCAAUGGUUAACGGAGCGAAAGCGACGUUCAACCGCAAAACAAGCAGAGGGGGCUUAGUGGUGGGGUGACUGCGUACCUUUUGUAUAAUGGGUCAGCGACUUAUAUUCUGUAGCAAGGUUAACCGUAUAGGGGAGCCGGAGGGAAACCGAGUCUUAAUUGGGCGUUAAGUUGCAGGGUAUAGACCCGAAACCCGGUGAUCUAGCCAUGGGCAGGUUGAAGGUUGGGUAACACUAACUGGAGGACCGAACCGACUAAUGUUGAAAAAUUAGCGGAUGACCUGUGGCUGGGGGUGAAAGGCCAAUCAAACCGGGAGAUAGCUGGUUCUCCCCGAAAGCUAUUUAGGUAGCGCCUCGUGAAUUCAUCUCCGGGGGUAGAGCACUGUUUCGGCUAGGGGGCCAUCCCGGCUUACCAACCCGAUGCAAACUGCGAAUACCGGAGAAUGUUAUCACGGGAGACACACGGCGGGUGCUAACGUCCGUCGUGAAGAGGGAAACAACCCAGACCGCCAGCUAAGGUCCCAAAGUCAUGGUUAAGUGGGAAACGAUGUGGGAAGGCCCAGACAGCCAGGAUGUUGGCUUAGAAGCAGCCAUCAUUUAAAGAAAGCGUAAUAGCUCACUGGUCGAGUCGGCCUGCGCGGAAGAUGUAACGGGGCUAAACCAU
rnacentral:rRNA from 1 species